rnacentral:rRNA from 1 species
GACGAACGCUGGCGGCGUGCCUAAUACAUGCAAGUAGAACGCACAGUUUAUACCGUAGCUUUCUACACCAUAGACUGUGAGUUGCGAACGGGUGAGUAACACGUAGGUAACCUGCCUGGUAGCGGGGGAUAACUAUUGGACACGAUAGCUAAUACCGCAUAAUAUUGAUUAUUGCAUGAUAAUUAAUUGAAAGGUGCAAUUGCACCCCUACCAGAUGGACCUGCGUUGUAUUAGCUAGUAGGUGAGGUAACGGCUCACCUAGUCGAAGAUACCUAGCCGACCUGAGGGGGGGAGCGGCCGAACCGGGAAUGAGAUACGGCACAGGCCGCUUCGGGAGGGAGCCGUAGGGCAUCUUCGGCGAUGGACGAAAGUCUGACCGAGAAAAGACGGGGGAGUGAAUAAGGCUUUCGGAUUGUAAAGCUCUGUUGUAAGAGAAAGAUGAGAGUGAGAGUGGAAAGUGCACAGUGUGACGGUAACUUAGCAGAAAGGGACGGCUAACUACGUG